ACUCAAAUGAAUUGACGGGGGCUCACACAAGCGGUGGAGCAUGUGGCUUAAUUCGAGGCUACGCGCAAAACCUUAUCCCGGGCUUGACAUGCACGGAUUAGCCGGCGGAAACGUCGGUGAGCCCGCAAGGGACAACGUGCACAGGUGCUGCAUGGCUGUCGUCAGCUCGUGCCGUGAGGUGUUGGGUUAAGUCCCGUAACGAGCGAAACCCCUGCGUCUAGUUGCCAGCACGUCAUGGUGGGCACUCUAGACGGACCGCCGGCGUCAAGCCGGAGGAAGGCGGGGAUGACGUCAAGUCCUCAUGGCCCUUAUGCCCGGGGCUGCACACGUGCUACAAUGGGCCGUAACAAAGCGAUGCCAGACCGCAAGGUGGAGCAAAUCGCAAAAACCGGCCCCCAGUUCGGAUUGUGGGCUGCAACCCGCCCACAUGAAGCCGGAAUCGCUAGUAAUCGCGGAUCAGCACUGCCGCGGUGAAUGGGUUCCUGAGCCUUGUACACACCGCCCGU
rnacentral:rRNA from 1 species